CCGUGCUAGCCGGGGAGGCAGCGGUGCCCUGCACUUGCAAUCCGCUAUAGCAAGGGUGAUGCUUCGUCUGAGGCAUUAAAUUGUAUGGUCUGCCUUUAGUAAGUGGCGAUGAGAAUUGGGUCUUACGCAAUAGGCACUUGUGAACCGUGUCAGGUCCGGAAGGAAGCAGCACUAAGCAAGCCCGUCUAUGUGCCGUGAGGGUGCCUAGUUUGAGUUUACUGCUAGAGUAACGCGUGUAAUUUAUUGUCGAAGCGAAGUGCACG
rnacentral:SRP_RNA from 1 species